rnacentral:rRNA from 1 species
UGCAUUGGCGCAGCUACACAUGCAAGUCGAGCGGUACGGACAGGAGAGCUUGCUUCUCUGGGGGACGAGGGGCGAGAGGGGUGAGUAAUGUGGGGGAAAUGGCCGGAUGGAGGGGGAUAACUCGGGGAAACGGGGGCUAAUACGGCAGGUUGUUUGAGACCAAAGUGGGGGACCUUCGGGCGUCUUGCCAUCCCAUGUGCCCAGAUGGGAUUAGCUAGUAAGUGGGGUAACGGCUCACCUAGGCGACGAUGCCUAGCUGGUCUGACAGGAUGACCGGGUGACUGGAACUGAGACACGGUCCCAACUCCUACGGGAGGACGGGAGGGGGAAUAUUGCAAUCUGGGCGCAAGCCUGAUGCUCCCAUGCCGCGUGUGCGAAGAAGGCCUUCGGGUUGUAAAGCACUUUCGCCGGGGAGGAAGGCGGUAAGGUUAAUAACCUUGGCGAUUGGCGUUCCCCGCAGAAGAAGCCCCGGCUAACUCCGUGCCCUCCGCCGCGGUAAUACGGAUGGUGCAAGCGUUAAUCGGAAUUACUGGGCGUAAAGCGCACGCAGGCGGUCUGUCAAGUUUCGGAUGUGAAAUCCCCGGGCUCAACCUGGGAACUGCAUUCGAAACUGGCAGGCUAGAGUCUUGUAGAGGGGGGUAGAAUUCCUGGUGUUGCGGUGAAAUGCGUAGAGAUCUGGAGGAAUACCGAGUGGCGAAGGCGGCCCCCUGGACUCUGACUGACUGCUCAUGUGCGCUAAGCGUGGGGAGCAUACAGGAUUAGAUACCCUGAGUAUGUCCACGCCGUACACGAUGUCGAUUUGGAGGUUGUGCCCGUUGAGGCGUGUCUUCCGGAUCUAACGCGUUAAAUCGACCGCCUGGGUAGUACGGCCGCAUAGGUUAAAACUCGAAUGAAUCUGACGGGGGCUCGCACAAGCGGUGGAGCAUGUGUGUUUAAUUCUGAUGCAACGUCGAAGAACCUUCACCAUGGUCUUGACAUCCACUUGAACUUUCUCAUGAGCAUUGGACUUGGUGCUCUUCAGGUCACUGUGAGACAGGUGACUGCAUGGCUGUCGUCAGCUCGUCGUUGUCUACAUGUUCGGUGUUAUGUUCCGGCUAACGAUGCGCAACCCUUAUCCUUUCGGUUGCCUGCUGGUUAGGCCGGGUAACUUCUAAGGGCAGACUUGCCAGUGACUAACCUGGAGGACAGGUGGGGAUGACGUGCAAGUUCACUCCUGGCUCUUACGACCCAUGUCUACACUGCGUGCUACAGUGGCAUAUGCAGAGAGAAUCGAACUCUCGACGUAGAGCUACGCUGUACCUCAUAAAGUAUGUCGUAGUCCGGAUUGGAGUCUGCAACUCGACUCCAUGAAGUCGGAAUCGCUAGUAAUCGUAGAUCAGAAUGCUACGGUGAAUACGUUCCCGGGCCUUGUACACACCGCCCGUCACACCAUGGGAGUGGGUUGCAAAAGAAGUAGGUAGCUUAACCUUCGGGAGGGCGCUACCACUUGGAUCAUCGAUUUUGAA